GGUUAAGCGACUAAGCGUACACGGUGGAUGCCCUGGCAGUCAGAGGCGAUGAAGGACGUGCUAAUCUGCGAAAAGCGCCGGCGAGGUGAUAUGAACCCUUGACCCGGCGAUGUCCGAAUGGGGAAACCCAGUGUGUUCCGACACACUAUCGUUAACUGAAUACAUAGGUUAACGAGGCGAACCGGGGAACUGAAACAUCUAAGUACCCCGAGGAAAAGAAAUCAACCGAGAUUCCCCCAGUAGCGGCGAGCGAACGGGGAGCAGCCCGGAGUCUGAAUCAGCUUGUGUGUUAGUGGAACGGUCUGGAAAGUCCGACGGUACAGGGUGAUAGUCCCGUACACGAAAACACACUUGCUGUGAACUCGAAGAGUAGGGCGGGACACGUGGUAUCCUGUCUGAAUAUGGGGGGACCAUCCUCCAAGGCUAAAUACUCCUGACUGACCGAUAGUGAACCAGUACCGUGAGGGAAAGGCGAAAAGAACCCCGGCGAGGGGAGUGAAAAAGAACCUGAAACCGUGUACGUACAAGCAGUGGGAGCCUCUUUAUGGGGUGACUGCGUACCUUUUGUAUAAUGGGUCAGCGACUUAUAUUCUGUAGCAAGGUUAACCGUAUAGGGGAGCCGAAGGGAAACCGAGUCUUAACUGGGCGUUAAGUUGCAGGGUAUAGACCCGAAACCCGGUGAUCUAGCCAUGGGCAGGUUGAAGGUUGGGUAACACUAACUGGAGGACCGAACCGACUAAUGUUGAAAAAUUAGCGGAUGACCUGUGGCUGGGGGUGAAAGGCCAAUCAAACCGGGAGAUAGCUGGUUCUCCCCGAAAGCUAUUUAGGUAGCGCCUCGUGAACUCAUCUUCGGGGGUAGAGCACUGUUUCGGCUAGGGGGCCAUCCCGGCUUACCAACCCGAUGCAAACUACGAAUACCGAAGAAUGUUAUCACGGGAGACACACGGCGGGUGCUAACGUCCGUCGUGAAGAGGGAAACAACCCAGACCGCCAGCUAAGGUCCCAAAGUCAUGGUUAAGUGGGAAACGAUGUGGGAAGGCACAGACAGCCAGGAUGUUGGCUUAGAAGCAGCCAUCAUUUAAAGAAAGCGUAAUAGCUCACUGGUCGAGUCGGCCUGCGCGGAAGAUGUAACGGGGCUAAACCAUGCACCGAAGCUGCGGCAGCGACGCUUAUGCGUUGUUGGGUAGGGGAGCGUUCUGUAAGCCGUUGAAGGUGUGCUGUGAGGCAUGCUGGAGGUAUCAGAAGUGCGAAUGCUGACAUAAGUAACGAUAAAGCGGGUGAAAAGCCCGCUCGCCGGAAGACCAAGGGUUCCUGUCCAACGUUAAUCGGGGCAGGGUGAGUCGACCCCUAAGGCGAGGCCGAAAGGCGUAGUCGAUGGGAAACAGGUUAAUAUUCCUGUACUUGGUGUUACUGCGAAGGGGGGACGGAGAAGGCUAUGUCAGCCGGGCGACGGUUGUCCCGGUUUAAGCAUGUAGGCGGAGGUUCCAGGUAAAUCCGGUACCUUUUAACGCUGAGGUGUGAUGACGAGGCACUACGGUGCUGAAGUGAUAAAUGCCCUGCUUCCAGGAAAAGCCUCUAAGCAUCAGGUAACACGAAAUCGUACCCCAAACCGACACAGGUGGUCAGGUAGAGAAUACCAAGGCGCUUGAGAGAACUCGGGUGAAGGAACUAGGCAAAAUGGUGCCGUAACUUCGGGAGAAGGCACGCUGAUAUGUAGGUGAAGCCCCUGCGGGCGGAGCUGAAAUCAGUCGAAGAUACCAGCUGGCUGCAACUGUUUAUUAAAAACACAGCACUGUGCAAACACGAAAGUGGACGUAUACGGUGUGACGCCUGCCCGGUGCCGGAAGGUUAAUUGAUGGGGUUAGCGGCAACGCGAAGCUCUUGAUCGAAGCCCCGGUAAACGGCGGCCGUAACUAUAACGGUCCUAAGGUAGCGAAAUUCCUUGUCGGGUAAGUUCCGACCUGCACGAAUGGCGUAAUGAUGGCCAGGCUGUCUCCACCCGAGACUCAGUGAAAUUGAACUCGCUGUGAAGAUGCAGUGUACCCGCGGCAAGACGGAAAGACCCCGUGAACCUUUACUAUAGCUUGACACUGAACACUGGUCCUUGAUGUGUAGGAUAGGUGGGAGGCUUUGAAGCGUGGACGCCAGUCUGCGUGGAGCCGUCCUUGAAAUACCACCCUUUAAUGGCUGGUGUUCUAACGUAGACCCGUGAUCCGGGUUGCGGACAGUGUCUGGUGGGUAGUUUGACUGGGGCGGUCUCCUCCCAAAGAGUAACGGAGGAGCACGAAGGUUGGCUAAUCCUGGUCGGACAUCAGGAGGUUAGUGCAAUGGCAUAAGCCAGCUUGACUGCGAGCGUGACGGCGCGAGCAGGUGCGAAAGCAGGUCAUAGUGAUCCGGUGGUUCUGAAUGGAAGGGCCAUCGCUCAACGGAUAAAAGGUACUCCGGGGAUAACAGGCUGAUACCGCCCAAGAGUUCAUAUCGACGGCGGUGUUUGGCACCUCGAUGUCGGCUCAUCACAUCCUGGGGCUGAAGUAGGUCCCAAGGGUAUGGCUGUUCGCCAUUUAAAGUGGUACGCGAGCUGGGUUUAGAACGUCGUGAGACAGUUCGGUCCCUAUCUGCCGUGGGCGCUGGAGAAUUGAGGGGGGCUGCUCCUAGUACGAGAGGACCGGAGUGGACGCAUCACUGGUGUUCGGGUUGUCAUGCCAAUGGCACUGCCCGGUAGCUAAAUGCGGAAGAGAUAAGUGCUGAAAGCAUCUAAGCACGAAACUUGCCCCGAGAUGAGUUCUCCCUGAGACCUUGAGUCUCCUGAAGGAACGUUGAAGACGACGACGUUGAUAGGUCGGGUGUGUAAGCGCAGCGAUGCGUUGAGCUAACCGAUACUAAUGAACCGUGAGGCUUAACCUU
rnacentral:rRNA from 1 species